GGGGGCGCAAUGGUUUCGACGGGGAUAUGGAAGCUGUAGUCGCAUACCGAGGUUCCUACCAGGCCUCGUUAAACAGGUAGGAAACAUUUAAGCGCAACCAAUUACGAUUACGCUUUAGCCGCAUAGACGGCUACGUCCUCCUGAUUCCGCCUGCCGGAUCAGCACAGGGCGUCAUACAGGCAGGAUAGCUGAUUUCACUUUCCCGAAGUGAGAGGGGCGAAAACCCACAGGGAUAGCUCUCGAUAAAUCCUGCCUCCGGGAGUUUUCGGGAGUGAAAUUAAAACAGAGGAUAAGUAUGUAGACGCUGCAGUGGAAUAUUUUCGGACGCGGGUUCGAUUCCCGCCGCCUCCACCA
rnacentral:tmRNA from 1 species